CAGUAGUUUUGGUAGUGGCUACGUCUGCUGGGUAUUCCGUGCAGAUCCAGAACAAAAAAUUUCGUCAUGUCAUUUAUAGUUCAAACAUGUGGGCAAAUAAUUCUUCAUGAAUAAGCAGUAAAGUUACGUUACUGAUUAUACUCCAUUAAUAUUGCGUUUUCUAUAGAGCGUUUACCGAUGUUUAUCGCGUUUUCCUUAACUAGUUCCUUAAACUACCAGUUUCUGCAAAAAACAAUCGUCAGUGUAACAUUUAGCAGGUGCGGGAAAACCUUAUACAGAGUAAAAAUACUUCGGACUGUCAUAGACCUUUAUUAGUCCAGACAUUGUCUCAGAAUAUCUUGUUACGCAAACAUUUACUUUGUUUAAGGAUUGCUACAUAGUUUAUGUGCCAUAGUUAGUUGUUUCAGAUUGUAAUGAGAUGGUAACGCUUUUGAAAAUCAUUGUAAGCUGUACAAGCAUUAGGGACUAACUCAUCUCUAAUUACGUGUUUUCCUAGUUUUUGCAGUAUCAUGGCGUGAUGUUACAUCGCACUGAUUGCCUUAAAGAACAGUGUUGUCUAGUGGUCUCUCGUGGUAUCAAUUUUGUAUAGUCGAACGACUGUAUUGCAAAGCGAUUAGAGGACCCGCUAGACAGCUACGUUAUGUUGGUUGCAUGCAAAUCAGGAGGACCACAAUUCAGGUGGUUCGGAUACUUUUGCGCACGAUAGUACCUCUGAUGCAGACAAAUAAGGUGACAAAGACUUUCAUAAAUGAAAGGUGGAGGAUAAAUUACAUAUAAUUGUGGCUACAUAAGAAAAAGGGCGACAAUUUCAUCUGCUGAAAUGAGAAUUAAUGUGGCUUUGCAACAAGGAUUCUGUCACAACUUACAGUGCAUAAAACAUGACAUAGCGCAAACUCUGCUUUGUUUUGCCAAUGAAGUAAAUUUUAACAAGGAAACGACAGAAAUGUGGCUGUUAGUCAAAAUUCUCCCCUUCUGAGUGAGUGGUUUUCAAGAGGCAGCAAGUUUUAGUUGCUAUAAAUAUAAUGAAGGAGCUGGACCAAUGACCGUAUUGAAAGACAUGCAAUUGUACCAACUUUGUGAAAAUUGGCACAUGAACAUUACAUAUACAAGAAUGCAACAACUGGGCAUACAAAGAGAUGGUUGAAAAAUUUCUAGACAGUAUUCGAACUGUGGACCACAGUGUUCUCACAAAAACUAAGUUACAUUACAAGAAACAAUAGUGCCAACCAAGGAAAUAAAAACUUGCAAGCAGUCAGUGUUCCCUGAUGUGAGAAAAAAUCUUUUGUAAUGAACUGUUUUUAGAUGGAGAAAGCAAGCGAAAUAAUACAUAUGUGUGUUUCAUGAAGGCCACUGAUGUUAUUUUAUUUCAGUAAAACAAAACACAUUUGGUGACUAAAAUAGGCAUUUCUUUGGAGUUGCAAGACAGAUUAUUAAGAUACCU